ACCGAUACAGAAAUAACAUAGAAAGCCUGAUUUUCUUUCCCUUCCCUGUCCACCAAUGGAUUCUGCCCCCUCUGACACCCCCCACCCCGCCACCCCCCCAAAAAAAGGACGGAGGAGUAAAGUAAGAAACUAGACCCAGGUUUGUUUCGUUUAAAGGAGGAUGCAAUUCUGUUCGUGAAUGCAUUUUCUCUAAAUGUUGGCUUCAUCCCUCCUUUGGUAGAGACUAUCAACGGAUUUGCUAAUCUGCGUGAAACUGCCAAGCCAGUCUUGCAAGCACAGAGUGGCUCUGCUGUCUAGUCCAGAGCUAACAUCAGAGCGCCCCCUGCUGGCCAGUAGAGCAGAACGCUGCGGGUCAGCCCCCUGCGAAGCGAAUCGGGUUUUUCUGCGCACCCCACCUUUCGCUGACUCCUUCCACUGCCCUCGCGUCCAUUCUCCAGCAAAACCCCGCGGCAGGGAAAUGGCUUGUCAAGGACUGAACAUUUAAAUGAAUAAAUAAUAAAAAUAAUAAUAAAAUGCGAAGGAACCCCCCACCUUCACUUGGCCUCCGGGGGAUCAAGUAUCAAAAGCCUUGGCAAAGGGACACCUUUCCUUUUUCUACGUCUCUUUAUUUUCUGGGUUUUCGCUACAGUUUAUUUUUCCUGCCGAACUGCAGAUUCCGAGUCCAAGGAAAUGUUUUUAAUACAUGCUGUAGAUGUUUUAAAAAUGGAUAUCUGAUGGGGAAACAGGCCAAUACAAAGCAAUAUUUUGCGUCCUCACAAAAUUAAACUCCCAGGAAACUCGCACUGUUUGGAAAAGUCUUGAGGGAUAGCUUUCGGAAUUCAGACGGUUCCUUGUCCGGAAUGACCCUUUCCUGCAACGCAAAGCAAUACCAGACCCUGUCCGAAUCUUUUUUUUAAAGCAAAAAACGUGUUUAAAAGUUGUCACCGUAGCUGCACACACCACACACGCACGUCUUUUCCACGGGUGUGUCUAUUCUUUCUUGGGUCGUACUUCUCAAUUUUGCUGGAAACGGAAAAGGUAGCUGAAGGGCACCAAAACUAACAACUUAUGUCUUUGACAUUUGAUCUUACUAUAGUGUUUCACGUCCAGUGCAAGGUGUGAGACCGCUACCAUUUGAGAGAAUUUUGGUUCUUAUUCAACGGUUCGGUGCAUAGAGGCAUUUUCUUGGUUUCCCAGUUAACCUGCCGCGGGAUUUAUGAGCACCACGUAACGCGAGGGCGCACAGGUAACGAGAGCCGGAGCCAUCUCAGGCUGGCAGCCGCACCGCCUGCACCGCCAGCCUCCACUCUUGGGAAAGGCGCUGGCAACGCAGCCCUGACUCGGAAAAGUCUUCUGACCGCAACUAGACCCCCACAUAAAGAGUGUCGAUCUCCAUUGCGGAACGACUUUAGUGUCUGAGGGAGUUUUUGGUUUUGCUUUUCAAAGUACCGGAUUUCAGGAUUUUCUUAAAAUAGUGCUCAGAAAUGAGGCUCGGGGGAAGGCACACGGGCAGGGAGGACAGCAGGGGAAAGGUGUGUCUCUGGACUUUGAUUUCUUGCCAGAGUAGCAGGGUUUUCUGGUUUAAAAAUCCAUGCUCCUCUGUCGCUUCUUCCCAGAACCACUGUGUCACCCCUUCUUCAACCCCCAUCCCCAUCUUUGGAGACGCUCCGGGAGGGGACAGGGACCCGGCAACUCCCUAGAACGAGCACUCCUAGGGCAAGGCAGAGGUGGGAGACAGCCCGGUCUUCAGGCCAGUGAAGUGAUGCCUCAGUCUGAUUGUGUUUGAAGAUUUGCUGGGGCUAUUGUGUGACAACUGAGGGCAAAGAAGGGAAAACAGAAGCAAAGAAAACUGUUUCGAAAGUCUUGGAAUUGCUACUGUUAAAAGGCUGCGGUUCAUUUCUGAUUUCCUCAUCUUUUGCUACAAAGGAAAAAGAAAUCCAAUGAUGUGUCUACGUUUGAUGAGAAGAAAACACGAACAACAGCAGCGUAGGUUCGAAAGUCAUUGUGCAGAGAGGGCAGGAGUGAAUUAAGGCCCCGGGGACCGCGGACGCCGGGCCAGGAGACCGCCUGAAAUAUGAGCCGAACCUGUUUUACCAAAGGAUUUCUCUGAAACACACACAUAAGUAGGCUCUUGGACUGUGUCAGCCCAAUCACCUUUUGAAACCCAAGAGAAUUGGGAUGUUGAAGAUAGUGAGGACACUGUGUACACACAUAGACAAUGUAUUGUGAGGGUUAUUGCUGUCCCAGUAAUGAGCCAGUCUCGGUCACUGUGCAAAAGUUUUAGCUUUAACACAAGUUGUCAUUCACAAUAUUUAUUUGGCAUUGUCCAAAGUCUUCUCAACUUCAUUUGUUCAAACUCUUCUCAGCUUCAAACUCGCCGCUUUGCCAGGUGAACACAAUCUCAAGCAGGCGUGAUGUUUAAAAAAUAAAAAUAUCACAACUCAUAAUUUCCCUUCUUACAGAAAAGCCAAAUCGAUGCAAAAAAAGCCCUUCAUUCUCACCUGGACGAAAGAGUUGGAGACAGGGCAGGCCGCCCGGCCAGAGGAGUGGGCACUGGCAGCUGAGCUGGCACUCUAGAGUCCAGCACCCCUGAGCCCACCUCUCUAGGGUGAACCUCCGCCCGGCCACUCCAGCCCCCCUCUUCCGGACAGCCCCUCUCCCCGGUGCUGGAGAACAAAGAAAGUUCUUGGGAUUGAGGCACAAAAAGGGUUAAAUGAACCCCAAGCUGUAAGUGUGUCUAUUCCAGACCCCCAGGUGAGGCGACAGUAGCUGGGUCUGAUGCGCAUCUCUGAGCUCCACAAACUGACUUGGUCUAGGGUUCCUUAGAUUCGUACACCCUCUUUCUCACUCACCCCUUUACACACACACACACA